UACGAAGGGGGCUAGCGUUGCUCGGAAUCACUGGGCGUAAAGGGUGCGUAGGCGGGUCUUUAAGUCAGGGGUGAAAUCCUGGAGCUCAACUCCAGAACUGCCUUUGAUACUGAGGAUCUUGAGUUCGGGAGAGGUGAGUGGAACUGCGAGUGUAGAGGUGAAAUUCAUAGAUAUUCGCAAGAACACCAGUGGCGAAGGCGGCUCACUGGCCCGAUACUGACGCUGAGGCACGAAAGCGUGGGGAGCAAACAGG
rnacentral:rRNA from 1 species